rnacentral:rRNA from 1 species
AAGUUGUUGCGGUUAAAAAGCUCGUAGUUGAAAUUGUGUCCUGCGGUGUCGGUCUACCGAUUGCGGUACGACAGGCACGUCUGCGGGGCUUCUCGCCGGUGCGUCCACCGCCGGCGUGCGUCGGUCGGCCUCACGGUCGGCCGCGCACCGAGGCGGGCCGUCGCGGCUGUUUACUUUGAACAAAUUAGAGUGCUCAAAGCGGGCUAACACUUGCCUGAAUAUUGUACGCAUGGAAUAAUAGAAUAGGACCUCGGUUCUGUUUUGUUGGCUUUCUGAUACCAGAGGUAAUGAUUAAUAGGGACAACUGGGGGCAUUCGUAUUGCGACGUUAGAGGUGAAAUUCUUGGAUCGUCGCAAGACGGACUAAAGCGAAAGCAUUUGCCAAAGGUGUUUUCAUUAAUCAAGAACGAAAGUUAGAGGUUCGAAGGCGAUUAGAUACCGCUGUAGUUCUAACCAUAAAUGAUGCCAGCCAGCGAUCCGCCGAAGUUUCAUAAAUUUAACCCGGUGGGCAGCUCCCGGGAAACCAAAGCUUUC